UAAAAAUGAUGUCAACUCAGUCCUGCUACUGUAAAAACGUUGAUGAUACCCAAUUACCAUCCAUUUAUUCUGAUUA
rnacentral:snoRNA from 1 species